rnacentral:lncRNA from 12 species
CCCCCCCCCCCCCCCCCCCCCCCCCCCCCCCCGGGGGGGUUUUUGGGGAGGGGGGGAUGGGGUUUGCACCAAGGUUUGUCCCCUGUUUUUUUGGGGUUUUGGGCCUUUUUCCCUGUUUUUUCUCCCCAUUUUUCUUCUUUUUUGCCUCCCUUUUCCUCAUUUUUCCUGCUUUUCCCUUCUCCUCCUUUUCGCUACUUUUCUUCUUUUUCUUACUUUCCUCCAUUUCCUCCAUUUUUUUCUUUUCUUUCUUUUUCCUCUUUCUCUCCUUUUCCCCCUCUUUUCUUCCUUUUUACUUUAUUUUUCCCAUUUUUCUCCUUUUCCCCCAUUUUUCCUCUUUUCCUUCAGUUUUUCUUUUGUUUUUUCUCACCUUCUCAUCUUUUUUUCCUUUUCCUCUUUUCCCCUUUUUCCUCCUUUUUCUUUUCCUUUCCUCCUUUUCCCUAUUUUCCUUUCCCCCCAUUUUUCUUCUUUUUCUUUUUCCUCUUUCCCUCCCUUUCCUUUUUUCUUGUUUUCCCCUUUUUCCUCCUUUUUCCUCUUUUCUUUCUCUUUCCCUUCCCUACUUUUCCUCUUUUCCCUAUUUUCCUCCCUUUUUCCCUUUCCUCGUUGUCUCUCCUUUUCCUCUUUCCCCCAUUUUUCUUUUUCUUCUUUCCCAUUAUCCCUUUUUUAAGUUUUCCCUUUUUUCCUUUUUUGUUUCCUUUUCCCUCCUUUUUCCUGUUUUUCCUCUUUUCUUCUUUUCCUGUUUUUCUUUUCCCCUUUUUCAUAUUUUUCCCUUUUCUCCCCGUUUUUCAUCCUCAUUUUCCUCCUUUUCCUGGUUUCAUCCCAACAUUUCCUUUUCCCUCCAUUUUCCUCUUUUCCCCUUUUCCCACCAUUCCCCCCAUUUCUUUCCCCAUUAACUCCUUUUUCCCAUUUUUCCCCCUUUUCCUCCUUUUUUCUCUGUUUUUCCUUUCCUCAUUUUUUCUCCCUUCUCCCUUUUUUCCCCAUUUCCCUCUUUUCCUCCUUUUCCCCCUUCUUCCUCUUUUCCUUUCCCCCCAUUUUUCCCAUUUCCUUUUCCUCUUUUCUCCCUUCCCCCCUCUUUUCUCUCCCUUUUUCCCUCUUUUUCCUUCUUUUCCCUCUAUCCCAAUUUUCCUCGACCCUUUUUUCCCCAUUUUCCCUUUCCCUUUUCCCCUUAUUUUUUCCCUUUCCCCCUAUUUUCCUCAUUUCAUUUUUUCCCUGAUUUUCCUUUUUUCCAUUUUCCCUUUUUCCCUAUUUCCCCCAAUUUUCUUUUUUUCCCCUUUCUCCCUUUUCCUUUUUUCCCUUUCUUCUUUCCCAUAUUUUUUCUUUUCAUUCUCUCUUUUAUUUUUUCUUAUUUUUCCUAUUUUCCAUUUUCCCUUUCCCCUUUUUCUCCUAUUUUCCCUUUCCCUCCUAUUUUCUCUUUUCCCCAUUGUUCUUUUUUCCUUUCCCCCUAUUUUCCAUUUUUCCUUCUUCCCCUAUUUCUUCCUUUUUCUCCCUUUCCCCCCUAUUUUUAAACAUUUUCCUUAUUUUUCCUUCCCUAUUUUCCAUUUUUUCUUAUUUUUCAUUUACUCUUUUCCCCUUUUUCCUUUUGUUUUCCCCCUAUUUUCCCUUUUUCCUUUUUUUCUUUUUCCCCUAUUAUUUUUUUUUCUUUUCCCCUUUUUUCCUUUUCCCCCAUUCUUCCUUUUUUUCUUUUUCCUCUAUUUUUCCUUUUCUACUUUUUUAUUUUUUCCUUUUCCCCUUUUUUCUUUUUCCUCCUUUUUUUCUAUUUUCCCUUUUUCCAUUUCCUUUUUCUCAAUUUUCCCUUUCCCUCCCUUUUCCCCACCACCUCCAGGCCCAUCCUAAUUUUUUAAAUUCCCAUUCCCGGCUCCAAGAAUUCCCAGGAAAACACCAGGAAAAAGAAAAAGAAGAAGAGGAAGAAGAGGAAGCUCAGUCUCAGCUGGAUCUGACGCGGGGCACGGAAAAAAAAAAAAACGGGAAAAGAUCUGGAAUUCUGCGGGAAAAUCCGACUUUUUUUUUUCCUUCAAUCCACGCUCAAAAAUUCCCAACCCCCCCCCCCCCCCCCCCCCCCCCCCCCCCCCCCCCCCCCCCCCCCCCCCCCCCCCCCCCCCCCCCCCCCCCCCCCCCCCCCCCCCCCCCCCCC